rnacentral:rRNA from 1 species
UACGUAGGCAGCGAGCGUUGUUCGGAAUUACUGGGCGUAAAGGGAGCGUAGGCGGGCUCUUAAGUUGGAUGUUUAAAACCGGGGCCUAACCCCGGCGUGGCAUCCAAAACUGGGAGUCUUGAAUGGGACAGAGGCCAGUGGAAUUAGAGGUGUAGCGGUGGAAUGCGUAGAUAUCUCUAAGAACACCAGUUGCGAAGGCGGCUGGCUGGGUCCACAUUGACGCUGAGGCUCGAAAGCGUGGGGAGCAAACAGG